AGACGGAGGUGGCAAACGUUGCUCGGAAUCACUGGGCUUAAAGGGCGUGUAGGCGGUCAUCUAAGUCGGGUGUGAAAUCCCUCGGCCUAACCGAGGAACUGCAUUCGAAACUGGUUGACUAGAGUGCGGGAGGGGCAAGUGGAACUCCAGGUGUAGCGGUGAAAUGCGUAGAUAUCUGGAGGAACGCCGGUGGCGAAAGCGACUUGCUGGACCGCAACUGACGCUGAGGCGCGAAAGCUAGGGGAGCGAACGGGAUUAGAAACCCCUGUAGUCC
rnacentral:rRNA from 1 species